GCUGGGAUAGCUCAGUCGGUGGUAGGGCAUGAGACUCUAUCUCAGGGCUGUGGGUUGGAGCCCCACAUUGGGUG